rnacentral:ncRNA from 1 species
CACGGGGAGCCGGUGUAACCGAGCUGAGAGUGGACUUUAAGUCCUGACCCGAUGAACCUGUACGGAUAAUGCCGGCGAAGGGAGUUGAUUAUUUA